GAACAAAUAAAACAAGUCCUGGAACUGUAACACAAGGUACAUAAACAAGUUAUAACAGAUACAUGUAAAACCUUCCACAUUAAUGACAUUAGCACUGGGCUAAUUGAUUUUAGCACAAGAUAAUCAUUAUCAAAGCUAAAAUGGUGUGUUCCUUUUGAAAUAGGUAAACAAUGGUCAACAAAUACACAAGUACCUUUUCUGAAUUGAAUGCAAGAUUAGCAUCUCCUUAAUUGCAUUCAUACAUUUAAAGAAAAAAAUGUAAGGAUAGUUAAGAGCAUUUUUUGUUUAUCAACUUAUCCAGACCUUUCUGGUGGAGGGUCAAAGUGCAAUCGUUUCUGGCUCUUGGGGGUGGUUUUUGUGAGGCCAUUUUUAGCUCGCAACAUAGACUCAUUUAUUCUUUGAAGCUUCUCAUUGGACUGAAAAGGAAGUAAAACAUUAUUUCACAGAGCUGAAUUACAAUGUAAUUGCAGGGGAUUUUGCUAUUUUGUAAGAUACAUGAAAUUACAAAGUAAAUUCUAAAAUAUUU
rnacentral:sRNA from 1 species